rnacentral:tRNA from 3 species
CGGAGUGUAGCGCAGGGGUAGCGCACCUGCUUUGGGAGCAGGGGGUCGUAGGUUCAAAUCCUAUCACUCCGACCA